rnacentral:rRNA from 1 species
GGCGUGUGUGCUGGCCUGUAAUGGGUCGGCGUGCUGCUGCUGGGCGGGCUCUAUCAUGGGCGAGCGUUUGGGCUUCGGCUCGAGCUAGUAGCUAUCAAUUUUUAAACCCUUUCUUAAAUACUGAACAUACUGUGGGGACGAAAGUCUCUGCUUUUAACUAGAUAGCAACUUUCAGCAGUGGAUGUCUAGGCUCGCACAUCGAUGAAGAACGCUGCGAACUGCGAUACGUAAUGCGAAUUGCAGGAUUCAGUGAGUCAUCGAAAUUUUGAACGCAUAUUGCACUUCCGGGUUAGUCCUGGGAGUAUGCCUGUAUCAGUGUCCGUACAUCAACCUUGGUUUUCUUCCUUCCGUGUAGUCGGUGGAGGAUAUGCCAGACGUGAAGUGUCUUGCUAGCGGUCUUUCGAGUCUGCCGGUGAGUCCUUUUAAAUGUACUGAACUGUACUCUCUCUUUGCGCGAAAAGCGUGGCGUUGCUGGUUGUGGAGGCUGCCCGUGUGGCCAGUCGGCGACCGGUUUGUUAGCUGUGGCGUUUGGAGGAGUGUUCGAUUCGCGGUAUGGUUGGCUUCGGCUGAACAAUCUGCUUAUUGGGUGCUUUUCCUGUCAGGCGGUAUGAACUGGUGAACCGUAGCUGUUGGUGCUUGGCUUUUGAACCGGCUUUGCUUUGCGAAGUAGUGUGGCGGCUUCGGCUGUCGAGGGGUCGAUCCAU